UUAAGUAUAUACAGAUUCUAAAAGGACAGAAACGAGAUAAGUAUGUUGCUGGUCUCACACGAAGCCCUAAACUGGUGCAUAGGAUAAGAGGUAUGCUCCAAUUCCUGCAACAUUACCGGUAGCAAAGAAGAUGACAAACGACAUCGCGAUAGCCAAAAUUACAGAACUUGAAAAGUGCAUAUAGGUACUACAACCACGAUAAAUACACUCAUGCAAAUAUAUAGAUAUAGAUAUAUAUAUAUAUAUAUAAAGCAGGAGAUUUGUUGUCUGCUUCAUUUCCAAGGCUUCAAGAACAGACUGUAGCUAAGGAUACAGUCAGCAGACCCGACACUACGAUUCUUAAACUGUACCUUCAGCUCGCAAACUUGCCUUGAGUGUACUCUGGGGUACUUCGCACCAAGAAUCCACAAAAACUCUAACUGUCUCACACGUUCAAUCAUGGAUAACAUACAGCUCCUUAAUAAGCUCCAUGAAGUGAACCUCAACAAAAGAUAUAAGAAAAAGCAUCACCACAGCAAAGAUAAUUGAGAUCAACCUCUUCCUCGGCAGGAGAACAACCUCAACACGCUGCACACCAAAAACUCAUCCACUGCAUAACCGACUCAACACGAACAACGACUCCGCAAAGUGGGUCAAAGCGAAACUGUUCCAAAUGCCGGAACCCAGAACAGAUUGCUUCAUUACCCGAUAGAAGAAAAAAGAAA
rnacentral:lncRNA from 1 species